UACGAGAGGUCCAAACGUUAUUCGGAAUCACUGGGCUUACAGAGUUCGUAGGCGGUCCAGAAAGUGGGGUGUGAAAGCCCUCGGCUUAACCGAAGAACUGCGCUCCAAACUACUGGGCUAGAGGAAGAUAGAGGUGAGCAGAACUGAUGGUGGAGCGGUGAAAUGCGUUGAUAUCAUCAGGAAUACCGGAGGCGAAGGCGGCUCACUGGGUCUUUUCUGACGCUGAGGAACGAAAGCUAGGGGAGCAAACGGG
rnacentral:rRNA from 1 species